UACAGAGGGGGCAAGCGUUGUUCGGAAUUACUGGGCGUAAAGGGCGCGUAGGCGGCCUUCUAAGUCGAACGUGAAAUCCCCGGGCUCAACCCGGGAACUGCGUCCGAUACUGGGAGGCUUGAAUCCGGGAGAGGGAUGUGGAAUUCCAGGUGUAGCGGUGAAAUGCGUAGAUAAUCUGGAGGAACACCGGUGGCGAAGGCGGCGAUCCUGGACCGGUAUUGACGCUGAGGCGCGAAAGCUAGGGGAGCA
rnacentral:rRNA from 1 species